rnacentral:rRNA from 1 species
AUACGUAGGGGGCAAGCGUUGUCCGGAUUUACUGGGUGUAAAGGGCGCGCAGGCGGGCCUGUUAGUCAGAGGUGAAAUCCUACGGCUUAACCGUAGAACUGCCUUUGAUACUGCAGGUCUUGAGUUCGGAAGAGAGAAGCGGAAUUCCAGGUGUAGUGGUGAAAUACGUAGAUAUCUGGAAGAACACCGGUGGCGAAGGCGGCUUCUUGGUCCGUAACUGACACUGAGGCGCGAAAGCGUGGGGAGCAAACAGGAUUAGAAACCCCAGUAGUCC